UUUGCGGUGCAUAAUUUCAUCUAACCUGUUACUCUCACGUUAGGGAAACGUUAGAUAUGUUUCGCUUUGGGUGGUUAGGCAGCGGUUAGGGUUCUCAAAAGGGAUUUUCACGAUUUUCAUGCUGGUUUAUUUACAUCCAGCUGUCAUUCGAGGCAGAAUGUAAAGUACAUAUACUAUAGUUAAAGUAUAUUAUUUUAUUACAUAACUGCCUCGAAUAACAGUUAAAUGCAAAUAAAUCGAGAUAAAUAUUCAAUCAACUGGAUUUCAAUAUCGAUGCCGAUGCGGAUUUCACCUGUAUCCGUUCCGGGUCUGGCUUGCGUGAGAAAAAUAACGAGCUGCGGCUAGAGUUGGGGGUUUCCUUCAUGAGCAUGGCACCUGGGCGGCUAUAACAAAGGGGUUUUCCUGCUGGAGGUUCCUGUGAUCGGAACGAAAACUACCAGAAUGUUGCUCCGCUGUUGAUAACUGGAUUUGAUGUUGAGUGACGGCGGAUUUGGGUGGUUGUGAUUGCACUCGCUGGUGACGCUGGCUGUUGCACUCAGUUCAGUAUAACUCUGGCGGCGUCCAGCUGGUCUUCGACCUUCGGGAGACGGGAACUAUUCGUCGAAUGAGAACUCGUAAAUAUGCCCAGUGCAGGGCUUAGUACUUGCCUAAAAUUGGAGAAAAAAUGUUGGUAAAGAUUAGUUGUCGGAUGUUUGGAUUUAAAUUUUUUUUUAAAUGUCCCACUGAAAGCACGCCCAUUAUUACCUAAUAAAAAUUGAAUCGUCUGCUGUAAAAAGCAAAAUAAUAAAAUGAAU